rnacentral:rRNA from 1 species
CAACCUGAGCUCAGUCGUGAUUACCCGCUGAACUUAAGCAUAU